UAGCUGGGCUUGAGGGAUUUGGCUUCUACCUUUCCCCGGAUGAGCGCCAGAGAAACGAGGUAAAAUAAAAGGCCCGCAUCUUCCCUCACGGCAAGCCCGAGGACCUCCCCUCACCGCCGUCGGCUUCGAUUCCGACAAAGCGCUACUCGAGGCCAUCCCAAUCCCUAACCCUCGCUGGCGCCGGCCGGUAGGCCCUCGUUCGUCCGGGACGCCAUGCGCUUGGCCGCCGGCGCCGUCUCCGUCGCCUCCGCGCCUCUCGCUGCCGGUGCUGAGGCUCGGGCCCGCCGUCGAGGGUGCUCUGCUGCGAGGAGAUCGAUGGUCGGCGGUGGAACUACGUCGUCGAUUUGGAGGGUUCCUGAAAGCUCCGGAGGGGCUCGGCGUUGUAGGCCGUCUCGUUGCAGACCCCAGAAGCUCCAGUGGACGAUUUUAAAGAUCCUAGGUGGUGCCUGAAGGCUUUCCUGGUAGUGCUACCCCUUCUUAUGUGCCAUACAUGACAUGGAGAGCUUUGAAGGGAUGGAUUAUGACAGAAUCAUUGCGUAAUCAUGGGAGAGCUCGGCUAUGUGGGCUAAAAGAAGAGUAAUGCUUCAUAAAAAUCGAGCAGUUUUAUUUCUUUCCCUGGGACAUCUCAUGGUUUAAAUACUACAAUUGAGAGUGGAACUGGCACUCUAUGCUUGAAACUAGCUCUUUAACUGAGAUGACAGCCAUGGCUACUCCAGAUAUUAUCUUCCGUCACACUGUAUCUAGAUACCCUAACCCCAAAUUGUAUUCUUAGCUGUGGAUCUUUCCAAUCAGCAAAUGGCAAGAAAUUCAUCUGUGUUCAGCUUGGAAGCUAACUGCUCUUGGAAUCUAUUGUCAUUAUGAACAUAUAAGUUGAUUCAUUCGUAGCUUGGCAAACUCCCUAUAGUGAACACAAAUUUUCUGAGCCGUUACCUUCCAGCCUUUUUAGUUAUACCUUUUUUCCUCCACAAGAUUUUGUAGUAGUACUGUGUUGAAUACUCAGGAACACUGAGUUUCUAAUGGAAGCCUUUUUAGGUGCAAGUCAUUAAGUGGAAUGGUUUGUGCUAUGGUAGUUGAAGAAAGGGGAUAGAUCUUUCCUGACUUUACCGAAGUUAUCACAUCAGUGUAUAUACCUUUGUGUAACUUGAUUUGUAAGUCAUCUAUUUUACUAUGGUGAUCAGUAAUCAACAACAGGUGAUAACAGGUUUGAUAUCUUCUCUUUUUUUUUUUCUUUUUGUUUGUAGACUUUCCUAUUGCUAUUAUGAUAUGAACUGUUCCUGUUUAAUCUGCAAAGCACCGGGUGAUUCAUUUGAUC